AAGUCGUAACAAGGUUUCCGUAGGUGAACCUGCGGAAGGAUCAUUAACACGCUUUUGUUUGUAACAAAACAAAACGUUUUAAACUCCAAAAGAAAUAGUGGAAAUAUAACUUCCGGAUGCGAAUUGUUGGGAACUGAGUAAAAUCGGUUCUUUGAAAAAAGGGACUUCAAGCAAUUGACACUUCAGAGUAGAGCAGUGAGGUGAAAUUCUCUUUAAUGAGAGUUUGGUUCUGAAAACAUUUGUAUCCGGUUAUCAUAAUCUGUUCUACAACCUCCAAAAUAUCAAACAAUAAACCCCAUGUACAACAACUUGAACUAAACAUUUUUUUGUCGUCCGCUUACACACUUGUUGUGUGAGAAGAUACUGCAAAGAAAAAACCUGAACUUAAGAACAACUCUUAACAACGGAUAUCUUGGUUCUC
rnacentral:misc_RNA from 1 species